CCACGAGUCAUAAAAAAAAGCCAAGAUUGCCUACCCCUGUUCUAGUCCAAAGAUGAUCACUUUCCCAACGGAAACCUCUUUUUUGCAAAGAAAACCUGUUUAUUUUUAAAAAAUCCCUCGCUUUCCCUUUUUUAUGGCUGCCUCCUGUUUGAAUCCCAAAGUCCAAAGUUUGCCCCUUCAAACCCCUUAACUCCCCCACACACACACUUUGCUUCCUAGGAUUAAAACAGGAUCCUCCAGGGGGCGCUCUCUUGCCAAAAGCUUUUAGGCCAGUGGGAAGGAAUCCAUAGGAUCUGGGAGGAUCUGGAAGAGGAGGAGGAGGGAAGAGGGAGGGACCUAAAUAGGGAAAAGCAAUCUCUGCUUCCACUUUAAAUCCCUGACCGCAGUCUUUCCGUGGAAGGAGGGAGGUGCAGCUUGCUGGGAAGGCAACUGGCGUUGGAGGAGCUGUGAGGAAGGCGUUGCACGAAUCCUGCCCUGCGCGCCUCUUCUUGGAGGACAGAGUCCCAGGCCCAGGGGCAGAGUAGGGAGUUGCCACGGAUAUAGCUGUGUUUUUCUCCAUGGAGGAAGGGGCCCUGGUGGAUGCUGAGGAAAAAGCCCUGCACCGAGAGGUCAUGCUGGAAAACACAAAGAAUAUGGCCUCCUUAGGGAAAGAUUGAAGGCAAACAAGGUUCAGGCAGAAGAAGAACAUUGUGGCUUCAAAAUCUAAAGGAC